rnacentral:tRNA from 1 species
GAGGGCAUAGUUCAGUGGUAGGGUGUGUGCCCAGCAUGCACAAGGUCCUGGGUUCAAUCCCCAGUACCUCCA